rnacentral:tRNA from 2 species
GCCCGAGUGGCGGAACUGGCAGACGCGACGGAUUCAAAAUCCGUUUCCCUCACCGGAGUGUGGGUUCGACUCCCUCCUCGGGCACCA